UUUUAUUGAUAAAUACUUGGUUUCAAGCUUCUUUUUUCGCAUCGUCUAGACUUGACGAUCUAGAUGACAAAGUGAAAGAGCUAAGAAAAAGCUCAUGAACAUUGAUGCGAUUAUUUGAAAUGAUACCAGCGUCAGCUGACACAAAGUAACUAAGCUGCACUGAAGUACAACUUUUCAAUCGGCUGUCUCCAGUCGAGGUCGUUCGCAUUAAGUUUGAAAAGACUCAUCUCGCUAAAGGAACUUCAAGACCACGAAAAAUAACGAUCGAAGCAGCACGUACUUGCCACUACCGGAGCUUGCAAAUUCGCUAGAAAAAUUUCGUUGUUCGACGAAAUGAUAGCUUGGAUCGAACAAGAAAUGAGGAGAAAAAGUAACGUAGAUUUUGCUUUGAAACAGGAAAAGAUAUAGUGGAUAAAAAGGGCACAUGCAUCAAUUUAGCCACUAUUCUUCCAAUCUCUUCCAAGCGGAACCGACUCACUUUGAUCGUCGUCUGCUUGUUAAUAUUACCUGAAGCGUUCAUUUUAUUCUAGCAUUCUAACCACGCACGGAAUAAUGAAAUUGUUCGUGUCAACAAAAAGGCCAAUCUCAUUAUACCUUGGCUGGUGUUUGAUUUGUUGAGGCGCUAACCGAUUGAUCAAUUGAGAUAAAUUCAAUAGAAAUGAUUUUCUUGUAGCUUUUCGUCCUAGCAAAAUAUCUAUACUACUUCAUUUAAGAUCAAUGUUAUUCUACUACAAUGACGCAAAAAAAACAUGUUUAUGACGUUUUUGUCUUAUGAUGCUAAUUGGCUGGAAGUCGGGAUCUUUUAAUUGCUAAACAAAACUUUGACGUCAUUCAAAUGUUUUGUAUUACCCUACUAAAUAGUUAGACCUGCUCCAGCUACCCAUGUUUACUUUUGAAACUUUGUAAUAUUACGUGACAAAUCCAAUCGCCAUUCGUUUACAUCUGUCACUCACACGUCUAUUUCAACAUAGUUGUUGAAACGACAUUUUAGUCUGAGUAGGUAUUACUAUAAAUCUUAAAAUAUUUAAAAAAAGAGAGAACAAAUCUAAGUGGAUAAGAAGAAAGCUUAUCAAGUCUGAGAGGAGAACACAUCGUAAGAAGAGAAAAAUGAUUUUACGAAUUCUGCUAAGAACUUGGAAGGGUAUGUUAUUGCAUAAAACAUAACAAGAGGAUCUCGAUUCGGUUGUUUGAUUCCUUCUUUCCAUAUUCAAAGCGGACGAGCAUGUUGAACUAAAAAUAAAGAGAAAAGGUUCUGCAAUGCGUCGACACGAUCUCAAGGGUUUCGAGGACAAUAAAACUCCCACGGAAACGAUAUAAUCUGACUAGUUCAGAGUCCAAAUCUUUUGCUGUCCACCUUCUUUCUUUUUUUUAAGGAAAUCUUUGAGGCACGAAUUUUCGGCUGCUAUUCAGAAAGAAAGAAAAAAUGCUACCAUACAAGAUGUUCGCCCGUUACGGAGUGAUGCGUAACGUUCGUACGCACGUUGUUGUUGCCACGGCUUUUGUGUAAUAAUAAAGACGUGGUGUGUGAAGUAGAUGUAAUAAUGUUUUCGACGUACACAGGGGCGGAACCAUUCUUCCAUUUGUGUUCUUUUCGUUUCCACGUUUUGUGCCUUCCUCUUUUUUUUUUUUUUCAUACAAUUUUCAAAGACUCGUUUUCUCCCACGCUCUUGCAAGCUUUUUAAUACGCAAGAAAGUGGUGGAUUUACAGCUGGAGCAAAAUUUGUGAAUUUUCAACGACGUAUUUCAAAUCUUUUGUGUAUAGCUUCCUUCACCUUAUCAGGCAUCACAAGACCGAGCUGUGGAAUGAGGUAGUAAUGAAACUAUACCGGGAGAAUUCGAAUUCCGAUCGGAUAAAGUCGCUUCAGCAACUUUGAAAGCUUCUAACGAGCGAGGUCGUUCAAUAGAAUACCAGAAAUUACGAAAGGACUACGCUGAGAGUUGAAAAAAAAAAGUGCUUUAUAUUCCAUUCGGAUUCUUUUUUUUUCCCAUUUCAUCCAACCGGAAAGAUGAUUACGUUUACCGUUUCAUCACUUUGGUAUUCAUGACCAAUGUUACCAUGACACAUUGCUUUGAUGAUGAACUGUAAGAGUGGAAAAAAAAAAAAACACAACACCCUGGA